rnacentral:rRNA from 1 species
CACUCCUACGGGAGGCAGCAGUGGGGAAUAUUGGACAAUGGGCGCAAGCCUGAUCCAGCCAUGCCGCGUGAGUGAUGAAGGCCCUAGGGUUGUAAAGCUCUUUCACCGGUGAAGAUAAUGACGGUAACCGGAGAAGAAGCCCCGGCUAACUUCGUGCCAGCAGCCGCGGUAAUACGAAGGGGGCUAGCGUUGUUCGGAUUUACUGGGCGUAAAGCGCACGUAGGCGGACUAUUAAGUCAGGGGUGAAAUCCCGGGGCUCAACCCCGGAACUGCCUUUGAUACUGGUAGUCUUGAGUUCGGGAGAGGUUAGUGGAAUUCCGAGUGUAGAGGUGAAAUUCGUAGAUAUUCGGAGGAACACCAGUGGCGAAGGCGGCUCACUGGCUCGAUACUGACGCUGAGGUGCGAAAGCGUGGGGAGCAAACAGGACUAGAUACCCGAGUAGUCCCA